UACAGAGGGUGCAAGCGUUGUUCGGAAUUAUUGGGCGUAAAGGGCGCGUAGGCGGUUCGGCAAGUCUCUAGUGAAAUCUCAGGGCUCAACUCUGAGUCUGCUGGGGAAACUGCCGGGCUUGAGUGUGGGAGAGGAGAGUGGAAUUUCCGGUGUAGCGGUGAAAUGCGUAGAUAUCGGAAGGAACACCUGUGGCGAAAGCGGCUCUCUGGACCACAACUGACGCUGAGGCGCGAAAGCGUGGGGAGCAAACAGG
rnacentral:rRNA from 1 species